AUUGAACGCUGGCGGCAUGCCUUACACAUGCAAGUCGAACGGCAGCACGGGAGCAAUCCUGGUGGCGAGUGGCGAACGGGUGAGUAAUAUAUCGGAACGUGCCCAGUCGUGGGGAUAACGUAGCGAAAGCUACGCUAAUACCGCAUACGAUCUAUGGAUGAAANCGGGGGAUCGCAAGACCUCGCGCGAUUGGAGCGGCCGAUAUCAGAUUAGGUAGUUGGUGAGGUAAAGGCUCACCAAGCCGACGAUCUGUAGCUGGUCUGAGAGGACGACCAGCCACACUGGGACUGAGACACGGCCCAGACUCCUACGGGAGGCAGCAGUGGGGGAAUUUUUGGACAAUGGCGCAAGCCUGAUCCAGCAAUGCCGCGUGCAGGAUGAAGGCCUCGGUUGUAACGUAGUCUUU
rnacentral:rRNA from 1 species